rnacentral:rRNA from 1 species
GUUGUAUAGUCAAGUAAUUAAGUGCAUGUGGUGGAUGCCUUGGCAGUCAGAGGCGAUGAAAGACGUGAUAGCCUGCGAAAAGCUCCGGGGAGGCGGCAAAUAUCCUUUGAUCCGGAGAUGUCUGAAUGGGGGAACCCACCUACUUUAAGGUAGGUAUUGCAACAUGAAUACAUAGUGUUGCAAGGCGAACGAGGGGAAGUGAAACAUCUCAGUACCCUUAGGAAAAGAAAUCAAUUGAGAUUCCCUCAGUAGCGGCGAGCGAACGGGGAUCAGCCCAUUAAGUUAUGUGUGUUUUAGUGGAACGCUCUGGGAAGUGCGAACGUAGAGGGUGAUAUUCCCGUACACGAAAGGGCACACAUAAUGAUGACGAGUAGGGCGAGGCACGUGAAACCUUGUCUGAAUAUGGGGGGACCAUCCUCCAAGGCUAAAUACUCCUGACUGACCGAUAGUGAACCAGUACCGUGAGGGAAAGGCGAAAAGAACCCCUGUGAGGGGAGUGAAAUAGAUCCUGAAACCGCAUGCAUACAAGCAGUGGGAGCACCUUCGUGGUGUGACUGCGUACCUUUUGUAUAAUGGGUCAGCGACUUAUAUUCAGUAGCAAGGUUAACCGUAUAGGGGAGCCGUAGAGAAAUCGAGUCUUAAUAGGGCGUUUAGUUGCUGGGUAUAGACCCGAAACCAGGCGAUCUAUCCAUGAGCAGGUUGAAGGUUGGGUAACACUAACUGGAGGACCGAACCCACUGUCGUUGAAAAGCCAGGGGAUGACUUGUGGAUAGGGGUGAAAGGCUAAUCAAGCCUGGUGAUAGCUGGUUCUCCCCGAAAGCUAUUUAGGUAGCGCCUCGGACGAAUACCAUAGGGGGUAGAGCACUGUUUCGGCUAGGGGGUCAUCCCGACUUACCAAACCGAUGCAAACUCCGAAUACCUAUGAGUACUAUCCGGGAGACAGACUGCGGGUGCUAACGUCCGUAGUCAAGAGGAAAACAAUCCAGACCGCCAGCUAAGGCCCCAAAAUCAUAGUUAAGUGGGAANNNNNNNNNNNNNNNNNNNNNNNNNNNNNNNNNNNNNUAUACUUUGUAUACGUGGUAGGGGAGCGUUCUGUAAGCCGAUGAAGGUGUGUUGAGAAGCAUGCUGGAGGUAUCAGAAGUGCGAAUGCUGACGUGAGUAACGACAAAACGGGUGAAAAACCCGUUCGCCGAAAGACCAAGGGUUCCAGUCCAACGUUAA